GGGGGGGUGGGAGGCGGGGGCUUGUGGAGUUGCGCUCACGCUCGCACCUGCCGGUCCCCGCCCUGACCGCGAACGCUCAAGGUUGCCGCACGCAGGUUUUUCCUGAAAUACUAGGCUUUAGAAUUUCACCAUAUGAAUUUUGGGAGAGAGGAGCACAGUUCAGCCCAUAACUAACACACGACGGAAUGAAGUUGAUAAUAGUGAGACCUUGUUGGUACAAGACUAUGUAACAUAACCUGCGCUUCUCAACAAAGAAUUGCUUUUCUGACUUCUGCACUCAACUACUCAACAUGAAGGCAAUAAGAAUGAAGACCUCUAUGUAUAAUAAUUGACUUCCACUUAAUAAAUAGUUACUUGGUACACUGGUCGACAAAACCUUGAAAUGUUGAUGUUUAAGGGCUGUUGAUUGCUGGCAGCAAAGAAGUCCAACUGUGCUGGUACCCGAGAUAGCGUCUCCACAUUUUCUUCCAGGAUCAUCACCUUUGUUCUAAAUAGCUCCCACAUAGUGUGAACAGAAGUCAUAUGUUUUAGAUUUUCUGCCUUGGCACCCAGGAAACCAGUAUGAUUGAGUAAACAUAUUAAACUUCCUCUGCAUUUCCAGCCUGAACAGAUGUUGAGUACAAGCUGAUCCACCUACGUUCAACCUGAGAGAGUCCACAUCCACAGACUGUUUCAUUUCCCUUUUUCAAUUUACAUAGAAGCAUAGAUUCUUGCUGGCAUAUACAAAUGCGCCAUUUAAGGCAAUCAAAAAUGGUUCCACAUCUCAUCUGAUUUCCACAAUUGUUGCUGUAACGAUGGACUACUGAGGAGAGAGACAAUUUCUCUGGCACAUCUUCCCACAUUUUAGCAACAUGUUCAUGGAGAGCCAAUAUUCAGUAAUUACAGCCCAAUUCCUCACAAUUUCACAAUUCGCUAACAAUAUGCAUUUUCACAAUGUAAAGCUGAUUUUCCUUUAACCAAAUCAAACAUGAAAAGAUAGCUGCAUGCAAUGGGCAAUCUAGAUCAUUAGAAGAUUGAUGUAAAAUUAGAGGACACUGAGACUGGAAUAGAUUGCAAACUUCAGGGAGCUCAGAAAACUUGUAAACUCUACAUUUUGAGGAAAUAUGUUGUCGAUGCUUUUGCAACUCUAUGCAGUAACUUAACAAAUAAAGCCUUAAAGUAACU
rnacentral:lncRNA from 1 species